rnacentral:rRNA from 1 species
AUGUCCGGGGCCCCACGCUCCAACCUUGGACUUGUUCCCAGGGACAUGAAUGGUAGCCUUCCAGUUAGUACUACAAAUUCCUCUGGGCCAAGCAUUGGUGUUAGCUCUUUGGUGACCGAUGGCAACUCAUCACUUUCUGGAGGUGCCCAGUUUCAGCAAAGUACGAGCAUGAAUGCUGAUUCGUUCAUGCGCCUUCCUGCCUCUCCGAUGUCGUUUUCAUCCAAUAACAUUUCUGGCUCUUCAGUCAUUGAUGGCUCCAUCAUGCAGCAAAGUCCACCCCAAGAGCAGAUGCAGAAGCGGAGAGCAUCUAGUGUAACAUCACAACCUGUGAUUGAUGCUGCUGCCGCAUUUCAUGCUCAAAAGAAGCCAAGAGUUGAUAUUCGGCAAGAUGAUAUCUUGCAACAACAGUUGAUUCAACAGCUGCUCCAAGGUCAGAGUUCUCUUCAUCUCCAGGGUCAGCAUAACCCACAGCUUCAAGCCUUGAUCCGGCAGCAUAAACUGGCACAAAUUCAGCAACAACAGCAGCAUCAGUUAUCACAACAAUUUCCUCAGCAUCAACAUUCUCAAGUUGGCAUACCUCGGCAGCCACAGUUGAGGCCGCCGCUAGCACAGCCUGGAAUUCAGCUAGCUGGACCUGUUAGGACUCCUGUCGAGAGCGGGCUUUGUUCCCGAAGGUUAAUGCAGUAUUUGUAUCACAAGCGUUACCGGCCAGAUAAUAAUCCCAUAACAUACUGGAGGAAGCUCAUUGAUGAAUAUUUUGCACCACGAUCAAGAGAAAGAUGGUGUGUGUCAUCAUAUGAAAAACCAGGGAAUACCUCGGUUGCUAUUCCACAGACAUGCCCGGGUACAUGGCGUUGUGAUAUUUGUAAUACGCAUUCGGGGAAAGGAUACGAAGACAAUCAACAAUAUUACUUUCUAAGGAAGCCAUUACGCAUCAAGAUUGCAAAUAAAAAGGCUACCUCUGAAAUACUUCCUAGACUCUGUCAAAUUAGAUUUGACCACGGUGUUAAGGAUGAAUAUCUGUUCCUUGACAUGCCGAACGAGUUCCGGUUGCCCAACGGACUGCUGCUCCUGGAGCAUGCUAAAGUUGUUCAGAAGAGCAUCUAUGAACACCAACAUGUCACACAUGAGGGACAACUGAGAAUAAUAUUCACUCCAGAACUAAAGAUUAUGUCCUGGGAGUUCUGUUCACGGAAACACGACGAGUAUGUCACUCGCAAGUUUCUAACAGACCAGGUUACACAUAUGCUGCGUGCUACCCAGAAUUACCAAGCCACUGUCACUAAAAAUGGUCCUGCUGGCCUAUCGAACGACGAGGCACAAAACGCUUGCAACCAGUUUGCGUCAGCAUCACGACAACUAGCGAAAAAUAUAGAUCACCACAGCCUAAAUGAGCAUGGACUUUCUAAAAGAUAUGUUCGCUGUUUGCAGAUAUCAGAGGUGGUGAAUCACAUGAAGGAUCUAAUUGAGUUCAGCCACAAGAACAAGCUCGGCCCUAUAGAGGGCCUGAAGAACUAUUCCAAACUAACUGCUGGACCAAAGCUCACGGUGCAGAAUUUGCAUGACUCAAAGGCGGUCAAAACAGAAAUAAGCCCCCAUGUGAAUAACGAGGUUCCAGGUGUUGGAGCAAUUAGUAAUAAUCCGCAGAAUCCUGCAGCACAAAGCAAUUACCAACAUAUGCUGAGAAGCUCAAGUGCAAAUCAGUUGCUUCAGCAGGAGGCAUCACAGAAUGCUGCGGCAAUGAACAGUUACCAGAAUAUGUUUAGAAGCUCAAGCGCAAAUCAGGGCUUGCUCCAGCAGGAGGCAUCUCAGAAUGCUGCUGCGCUAAACAAUUACCAGAAUAUGCUUAGAGGCUCAAGCCCGAAUCAAAGUUUGCUUCAGCAGGAGGCAUCGAGUAUCUUCAAAGGUCCUACAGCAGUGCACAGUGGCAUUCAGCUGGAAGCAUCUAGGUCGUUCCGUGCGGCUCAGCUUGGGCAAUUCCAGCAUCCCAUGUCGUUCCAGCAAGGUAUGUCCCAGCACCAGCAUAACAAUUUCCAAGGCCUGGGCGCUAGUCCACAAUUCCAGCAGCAUGUGAUCAAUCAGCUGCUGCAAGAAGCCAAGAACACCAAUAGCCGCGCUCUUGCUCAUCAGCAACAACAGCAGCAGCACCAUCAACAGCAGCAGCAGCAGCAGCAGCAACAUCAACAGCAACAGCAGUCUCCUAGCACUCCCAAUGCAAAUGGUGGUCUUGCAUCUGGAGCCGCGGUCGCCAACACCGCUGCUAGCGGAGAGCAGGCACAGCACAUGAAUAAUGGCACAGCAAAGGGCGCUGCUUUGAUGGGUAUGACGGGGCCUAGUAAUCUGAUCAACAGUGGAGCUGGCAUGGUCCAGCGAAGCAGCAGUUUCAAGUCAGUGAGCAGCAACCCGGCCGCUUCUGGUGGCAAUGCGGCGACCCCAAAGGUGGAGUCUGUGCAUGACAUGGACGACCUGGAACAUCUCAUCUCCCACGAACUUGUGGAGAGCGGUCUGUUCAUGGGGGAGCAGCCGGGGGACGGUGGCUUCUCGUGGAACAUCUGA